UACAGAGGGUGCGAGCGUUAAUCGGAAUUACUGGGCGUAAAGCGCACGUAGUCGGCUUUGCAAGUCGGGUGUGAAAGCCCCGGGCUCAACCUGGGAACUGCGCUCGAUACUGCGGAGCUCGAGUACGAGAGAGGGGGGUGGAAUUCCAGGUGUAGCGGUGAAAUGCGUAGAGAUCUGGAGGAACACCGGUGGCGAAGGCGGCCCCCUGGUUCGAUACUGACGCUGAGGUGCGAAAGCGUGGGGAGCAAACAGG
rnacentral:rRNA from 1 species